rnacentral:tRNA from 1 species
CAGAUUAAAGCUUAAAAGUAGUUUUUUAUUUACAUUAAAAAGUUACUGUUUAAUUCAGUAUAAUUUGA